GCUUUUCUUUUUGUUGUUGUGACGAGAAGAGAUUCUUAUCACGUCAUUUUUUUUCUUAGUUGAUUAAAACCCCAUCACUUAAGCAAUUAACUUUAGGCAAUAAUGGACAAAGAGAACUUAUGACAUAGACCAAAUCAAUUUUUCAACUGAUUAGAGAAUUGUUUACUUUUUGACCAAAUUGAUAUUUAUAUAUUGAUCAAUUCCAUAACAAAAAAUAAUGCAAAAGAUUGGAUGUUU